AUAACGACAAUGUACGAAUUGGCGAAACUUACACACUAAUUACAAGUAAUCGUUUCACUUAUAGUCACAAAAACACAGAAAAUCAACUAACAAUCGUGUAGAUUAGGGUUAUAAUGCGUUACCCUCGCUGCUGUUGUUACCAAUUUCCUUCCCUUUACCACUAUAGCUUGCGCCACGGCUACAGCUUCCGUUUACAGUUUCCAUCAAAUUCAGCUCUGGUGGAUGCAUCUCUGCGAAAUCAUACCCACAACGCUUCCUCUUCUAUUGGGGUUCCCAUAUAUUAUCCACCAGACUUAUACGAUGUCUCGAAAAUCAGAGUUAAACAAAACCACAUCUUGAUUUAAUAAUUAAAAGGACAAAAGUACAUUCUUCAAUUUGGCGGGAAUGACCGGUAACAAAGGUCACCGGAAUCGCAGGUAGCCGGUUAGUCUCGCACGUGUGAGUAAGUCAAUAACCCUGGGUCGCAACAAGUUAUUGGGUCGCUUUCUCAUGGUUUGAACUUAAUUUUCUUGGGUCAAAUUCGUUAAGUUUAUGGGUAAAAAGGCCAAAAAUGUCACAGAUUGUUUCUCUUUCCACUAGGUAUGCAAACCGUAAAUUAAAACUUCCCGCGACCCAAGCCCAUAAUUAAAAACUUAACGCG
rnacentral:lncRNA from 1 species